rnacentral:rRNA from 1 species
UACGUAGGGGGGCUAGCGUUGUUCGGAUUCAUUGGGCGUAAAGGGCGCGUAGGCGGGCGAGCGAGUCCGGGGUGAAAUCUUUCGGCUUAACCGGAAAAGGGCCUCGGAUACCGGUCGUCUGGAGGGAGGUAGGGGCAGCUGGAACUUCCGGUGGAGCGGUGAAAUGCGUUGAUAUCGGAAGGAACGCCGGUGGCGAAAGCGAGCUGCUGGACCUCAUCUGACGCUGAGGCGCGAAAGCCAGGGGAGCGAACGGG